GACGAACGCUGGCGGCGUGCUUAACACAUGCAAGUCGAACGGAAAGGCCCUGCUUGCAGGGUACUCGAGUGGCGAACGGGUGAGUAACACGUGGGUGAUCUGCCCUGCACUUCGGGAUAAGCCUGGGAAACUGGGUCUAAUACCUGAUAGGAGCCAUUUUUAGUGUGAUGGUUGGAAAGUUUUUUCGGUGUAGGAUGAGCUCGCGGCCUAUCAGCUUGUUGGUGGGGUAAUGGCCUACCAAGGCGGCGACGGGUAGCCGGCCUGAGAGGGUGGACGGCCACAUUGGGGCUGAGGGACGGCCCAGACACCGACGGGAGGCAGCAGUGGGGAAUAUUGCACAAUGGGCGCAAGCCGGAUGCAGAGGCGCCGCGGGGGGGAUGACGGCCUUCGGGUGGUAAACUCCUUUCGCUAGGGACGAAGCUUUUUGUGACGGUACCUAGAUAAGAAGCACCGGCUAACUACGUG
rnacentral:rRNA from 1 species